rnacentral:rRNA from 1 species
UACAGAGGUGGCAAGCGUUGUUCGGAAUUACUGGGCGUAAAGGGCGCGUAGGCGGCCACCGCACGUCAGUUGUGAAAGCUCUGGGCUUAACCCAGAAAGGUCAGCUGAUACUGCGGGGCUAGAGUGCAGAAGGGGCAACUGGAAUUCUCGGUGUAGCGGUGAAAUGCGUAGAUAUCGAGAGGAACACCUGCGGCGAAGGCGGGUUGCUGGGCUGACACUGACGCUGACAGCGCGAAAGCUAGGGGAGCGAACGGG